AGCAUGCCCUUUCCCUCUUGACUUUUUAGCAGUUUUGGGUAAAUAUUGAUUUGCCCCCCAGUUUACCUUCUCUUCCACUGGCCAUUUGCAGACUAAGGAACCAGCCUCUGUAGGAACUUGAUUUUUGUGUUACUUUCUGGCCCUUUUACCACCUCCCCUCCUCCCUCCAAGUGGCAUUGUAAAACUCACGGUGACAAAGAGACAGAGUAGGGUCCAAGGCCCUAGUUCCUGGGGACUUGCAGGCGGCUUUACAUACGGGUCAGACACGGCUGGAGGCCAAGGUCAAGUUGAAAGUUGUCGUCUAGCCAGCGUGAGAACUGUGCAAGCCUGGAGACCCAGGCAGCUGCAGAAGGCCGGCGCCCACCUCCCCUCA
rfam:Tupaia belangeri cont1.584653, whole genome shotgun sequence.